GGAAUGUGGCUCAGUGGUAGAGCAUCUCCUUCACAUGCAGAAGGCCCCAGUUUCAAUCCCUGUUAUUUCCA
rnacentral:tRNA from 1 species